UUCAUAUGGAAAGAAUGGGGUGUCUUAUGAAAAGACUUAAUAGGGAAGUUGGUGAAAAUCCAACGCGGUCCCGCCACUGUGAAUGGGAGUGAGCUGAGUAUCCACUGUGUUUCAUUGCAUGGGAAGGAACAGCGAUCACGAUGACCAUAAGCCAGGAGACCUGCCUGAUUCUUCACGCCAUG
rnacentral:ncRNA from 2 species